AUGGGAUUAGCUAGUAGGUGGGGUAACGGCUCACCUAGGCGACGAUCCCUAGCUGGUCUGAGAGGAUGACCAGCCACACUGGAACUGAGACACGGUCCAGACUCCUACGGGAGGCAGCAGUGGGGAAUAUUGCACAAUGGGCGCAAGCCUGAUGCAGCCAUGCCGCGUGUAUGAAGAAGGCCUUCGGGUUGUAAAGUACUUUCAGCGGGGAGGAAGGGAGUAAAGUUAA
rnacentral:rRNA from 1 species